ACAAGAAGGAGAUGCUUGCAUAUGAAAUGUGUAACGCAAGAACAAUACAUCCCCACAAGUACAGUUUCCUUUCAGAAGAUGACUCCUUAAGCUUCCAGGGCAACACAUGUUCCCAUCCAGAACAGGCGUAAUCUUCGCUGCAACGCUCUCGUUCGCCACGCUAUUCAGCUUUUUCUGUCCUCAGUGGUGGACUGUUCGGCCUGUCGUGCUUCUUGCAAGUAUAUUUCUCGCGGUGGUAAGUAUCUUCCUCCUGCAGGCCUACGUGCAAGCCUGUGCCUUGUCAAAAUUCCUGAUUUUGAUCAUUGAGUGCUUGCUUGCCUUCCAGGGCUUUCUCGUGCAAGUGCUGAUGCAAGAUCAGCAGCUGAAAAGCGAACAGCGGCAACACAUGUUGACAGUGCGCAGAAUGAAGGCUCAGCAGAAUGACAUGCUUCAGAGAGUCUUGCAGCUGGAGCAGAGCAUCUGACCUGCCUUCCAAGGCUACUAUAGGACCCUGAUUAAUUUCUGCCUGUUUCACAGCGCUCUUGCGUGCAGCCUGGAGAAUUACAAUGUUGCCAGACCCGUACUGUGCUUUAACACCCAUCAAUCGUCACUUGUAGAAGGAGAACAUGUUGUGCGAUUGCAAUGUAGGCUUAAGUAGAUUUAACUGAUGUCA
rnacentral:lncRNA from 1 species